rnacentral:rRNA from 1 species
UCGAGCGCCCCCGCAAGGGGGAGCGGCGGACGGGUGAGUAACGCGUGGGAAUUUUCCUCAAGGUACGGAACAACUCAGGGAAACUUGGGCUAAUACCGUAUGAUGUCUAGCGACCAAAGAUUUAUCGCCUUGGGAUAAGCCCGCGUCAGAUUAGGUAGUUGGUGGGGUAACGGCCUACCAAGCCUGCGAUCUGUAGCUGGUCUGAGAGGACGAUCAGCCACACUGGGACUGAGACACGGCCCAGACUCCUACGGGAGGCAGCAGUGGGGAAUCUUGCGCAAUGGGCGAAAGCCUGACGCAGCCAUGCCGCGUGAAUGAUGAAGGUCUUAGGAUUGUAAAGUUCUUUCGCCCGUGACGAUGAUGACGGUAACGGGAGAAGAAGCCCCGGCUAACUUCGUGCCAGCAGCCGCGGUAAUACGAAGGGGGCUAGCGUUGUUCGGAAUUACUGGGCGUAAAGCGCGCGUAGGCGGUUUUGCAAGCCAGAGGUGAAAUGCCUGAGCUCAACUUAGGAAUUGCCUUUGGGACUGCGAGGCUUUGAGGACUGGAGAGGUGAGUGGAAUUCCCAGUGUAGAGGUGAAAUUCGUAGAUAUUGGGAAGAACACCAGUGGCGAAGGCGGCUCACUGGCCAGUUUCUGACGCUGCAGCGCGAAAGCGUGGGGAUCAAACAGGAUUAGAUACCCUGGUAGUCCACGCUGUAAAC